GGGCGACGCGGUGAAGAGCAUCGACGACAUCGGCGGCGCCCUGUCCAAGCUGAGCGAGCUGCACGCCUACAUCCUGCGCGUGGACCCGGUCAACUUCAAGCUCCUAAGCCACUGCCUGCUGGUGACCCUGGCCGCCCACCUCCCCGCCGAGUUCACCCCUGCGGUGCACGCCUCCCUGGACAAGUUCCUGGCUUCUGUGAGCACCGUGCUGACCUCCAAAUACCGUUAAGCUGGAGCCUCGGUAGCCGUUCCUCCUGCCCGCUGGGCCUCCCAACGGGCCCUCCUCCCCUCCUUGCACCGGCCCUUCCUGGUCUUUGAAUAAAGUCUGAGUGGGCAGCAGCCUGUGUGUGCCUGGGUUCUCUCUAUCCCGGAAUGUGCCAACAAUGGAGGUGUUUACCUGUCUCAGACCAAGGACCUCUCUGCAGCUGCA
rnacentral:lncRNA from 1 species